rnacentral:rRNA from 1 species
AACGCUAGCUACAGGCUUAACACAUGCAAGUCGAGGGGAAACGAUAUUGGAAGCUUGCUUCCGAUAGGCGUCGACCGGCGCACGGGUGAGUAACGCGUAUCCAACCUGCCCAUCACUUGGGAAUAACCUUGCGAAAGUAAGACUAAUACCCAAUGAUAUCUCUAGAAGACAUCUGAAGGAGAUUAAAGAUUUAUCGGUGAUGGAUGGGGAUGCGUCUGAUUAGCUUGUUGGCGGGGUAACGGCCCACCAAGGCGACGAUCAGUAGGGGUUCUGAGAGGAAGGUCCCCCACAUUGGAACUGAGACACGGUCCAAACUCCUACGGGAGGCAGCAGUGAGGAAUAUUGGUCAAUGGGCGAGAGCCUGAACCAGCCAAGUAGCGUGCAGGACGACGGCCCUAUGGGUUGUAAACUGCUUUUAUAAGGGAAUAAAGUGAGCCUCGUGAGGCUUUUUGCAUGUACCUUAUGAAUAAGGACCGGCUAAUUCCGUGCCAGCAGCCGCGGUAAUACGGAAGGUCCGGGCGUUAUCCGGAUUUAUUGGGUUUAAAGGGAGCGUAGGCCGGAGAUUAAGCGUGUUGUGAAAUGUAGAUGCUCAACAUCUGCACUGCAGCGCGAACUGGUUUCCUUGAGUACGCACAAAGUGGGCGGAAUUCGUGGUGUAGCGGUGAAAUGCUUAGAUAUCACGAAGAACUCCGAUUG